GGUCUGAUAGUUAAUUAAUAUGGCUUGGUGGUCAAUUAAUAUGGUCUAAUGAACAUAUAUGUCAUAAUGUAAUGCUGAUCAUUGAAUGGAUACAAAUAAAUAAUCAGGAGGACUUUCUGUGUAACCUACUAAUACUGAACAAUGAAGACAAAACAUUCAUUAAUAACAAAAUGGGUUAUAAAUGCUUUGCAAGACGUAGCUUG
rnacentral:lncRNA from 1 species